rnacentral:rRNA from 1 species
AGCAGCCGCGGUAAUUCCAGCUCCAAUAGCGUAUAUUAAAGCUGUUGCAGUUAAAAAGCUCGUAGUUGAAUUUCGAGACCGGUUUACUGGUCGUGCUUUUGUACGUACUGGUAUUAUUGGUUUCUCCUUUCUGACGAAUCAUAAUGCCAUUAAUUUGGUGUUUUGGGGAAUCAGGACUGUUACUUUGAAAAAAUUAGAGUGUUUAAAGCAGGCUCACGCUUGAAUACAUUAGCAUGGAAUAACGAAAUAGGACGUUUGAUUUUAUUUUGUUGGUUUCUAGGAUCGACGUAAUGAUUAAUAGGGAUAGUUGGGGGCAUUAGUAUUCAAUUGUCAGAGGUGAAAUUCUUGGAUUUAUUGAAGACUAACUACUGCGAAAGCAUUUGCCAAGGAUGUUUUCACUAAUCAAGAACGAAAGUUAGGGGAUCGAAGACGAUCAGAUACCGUCGUAGU